UCUCUGGUGUGAAUAUUCUGAGAGUGGCGGAGGGCGCGGGGCGCGGCGGGCGAACGUGUGUAUGAAUAACGCCUUUAUGAUUAUAAACUUCUUUUUGUAAAGUAGGAAGGUGUUAAAGUUAAUAACCUUAUUAAUUGACUUUACCCUUGAAAUAACCACCGGCUAACUCCCUGCUAACUCCCUGGGUAAUAAAAAGUAAUAA
rnacentral:rRNA from 1 species